AAACUCUAGUCGAUCUACGAGGUGGAAGAGGUUGUAUUAAGACUGGUUCUGAUUGAUUAGGUUCCUCAGGUUCUUUAGCUCAUUGCUCUUGGAAGACAUUCUCCUUGAGCUUAAUUAUUCUUCCGAUGCCACCAUCCUGAAUAAACUAUUUUUCAAGAAAAAUAGCAUUUCGACUUACAAUCACAUUGUGGUCUUCUGAAAUAUAGAAAUAGUAUCCUAAUGACUCUUUAGGAUAUCCUAUGAAUCGAGCUC
rnacentral:lncRNA from 1 species